UCCUACGGGAGGCAGCAGUGAGGAAUAUUGGUCAAUGGUCGGGAGACUGAACCAGCCAAGCCGCGUGAGGGAUGAAGGUACAGAGUAUCGUAAACCUCUUUUGUCAGGGAACAAAGGCGGGGACGUGUCCCCGGAUGAGUGUACCUGAAGAAAAAGCAUCGGCUAACUCCGUGCCAGCAGCCGCGGUAAUACGGAGGAUGCGAGCGUUAUCCGGAUUUAUUAGGUUUAAAGGGUGCGCAGGCGGUCUGUUAAGUCAGCGGUCAAAGCCCGGGGCUCAACCCCGGCCCGCCGUUGAAACUGGCAGG
rnacentral:rRNA from 1 species